UUCUCGCCGUCCGUCGCCGCCGGGCGACGCGUGCACGGCCGCUGUCGCCGAGGCCCGCACGGGCACCGAGGCUCUCCUCUCCUCUCCAGACAGGGCUUGCCUUCGCGGCUGGACGAUGGAUUUGGGGACGGAGAAUCGCCUUGCGGCGUUGCUCCUCGAGGAGGCCCGGAGGCUGCGGAUGCAGGCGGAGAAGGAAGGGGUGCACGCCUAUCUGCAGAAACCUAACGUGAGGCACCGCCCCAACUCGCGGUUCCUUGCCGCCACCGUUCUUGGCGUUCAGCAAGCAAAUCGAGUUGUGGAGGUUAAUGAGAUGUGGCGUGCCAGGGAGAAGGAAAUGGAGCUGGAAUCAAAGAUGAAAGCCAGAACCAGUGGUCGAAUUGACUCGAGAUCCCUGAAACGGAAGAACGACUCAAGAGACCAGAGCCCUGUCUCUAAGAUCCAGCGAGACAGACCAUAUGGCGCUGGUGCAUCAUCUUCGUCGAGGGAUUCACAUAGCAGUUCUUAUUCGGGCCGGGAGGAUGGGCUAGGCGAUGAUGAAAUCGAAGAGUUUCUUCGAUCAAGGGUGAAGCGCGGACGAGGAGCCAUUGGUUCUAGAAUGGAUGAGCCCGGUCCAUACCUCAAGCCUCCAUGCGGUAGGCAAGACAAUUCAGCAAGUCCGGACGCAGGAGUGAAAGAAGACCGGAAGCGCCGAGUUUAUGGUCCAGAGAAGCCACUAUUUUUGAGAUCUAAAUCCUCAGACGAGGAGCCAUCCACCUCGAAGCACAAGCACAUAAAACAAGAAAAGAACAAUAGCAGCAACCGAGAGAGAAAGAAGGACAACAAGAGGUCCAAACAUCACCACCGUGAACAUAAAAGCCGAAGUAGGGAGUGAUGGCUGAUGAUUAAUCGGAAUGUGGAGAAAAGAUGAAACUGAAGCCUACAAAUGAAGAUGCGGCGAUCAAGCUCAGGGGAUGCGUGGUUCCUCCACUUGCCGUUGGCUUGGCAACUGCAGAAGAACAGAAGGGUGGGUUACUGGCAGUAGAAAUUCAAAGCAGCAGUUCCCGUGGAUGCUGAAGAAGCAGCUGUGCUACCUGCAGUGCCAGCAUCUGCAAAAGAGAGUUAAAAUCAGCAUUGCUCAGCACGCCGUUGUACAAAUCAACCUAAUUAUGGCAUGAUUGGUCGUAUCAGUUGAGAUAAGAUCAGAUCAGAUCAUCAAUGAAGAGAUCUUGCGUAUGCACAAUUGCAGCGGAAGAUGAUUGUGGUUCUGGUCUGACGAAGAUCCAAACUUUGACACCCAUUUCUCUACCCUCAGCUCUUCUGCAACCGGCAGAUUACCUUUUUUGCAUGCUGUUAACUACAGUAGUACUACUGCAAAGUACAGAUUGAUGGUAAAGAUUUUUAAGAGAGACAAAUGGCUGGCUCAGGUCAGGUGCAUGAAACGACAAAUUUUCGAGUAAGGAAACAACCCAGCUUGAUCUGAUCCAAGUACUACUGUUUCUGACAAACAAAUAAUUAAGUUUCAGAUCAGCUUGGACGUACGUGCG